AUGUAUCUACAAUAUUUGACAUUAUUAUCGACUGAACGGGUAGUUUUAGAGGUCGAAAAACCCUCUAUAUUCCUUCGACGCCAUUCCAUUCCUCACGCCCCCCGCCGAUCCUCCACCACCUUAUCUCACGCCGCUGGCCGCCGAUCUUCCACCACGUUUCAGGGUUUUGAUCGAAGAAUUUGGAUUUAUAGAUCUGAAGGUGGAGAUGGAUGUUUUGCAGAAGCGUAUCAAAAUAAUGGAAGCGAGCGGGGACGAAGGAGAUGAAGGACAAGGAAGUGGAAAACAGAUGACGGAGAUGGGAUCACAGGACGUGGAGGAGCACUUCCAACGCAUCUUUGAGAAGGUCGAGCGCUACACUCACCAGGUAUGGGGUAUUGCUUACCUCGAUUGAAUGCAGAUCAAACUACAUCUCUAUCGCGCUGUCCCUCUGUGGAUUGCAUUGGAAGGUCGAGGAGCUGCUGGAAGCAGGGAGGACGCUGUUUAAAAAUCUAUCUCCUGAAUUCGAAGAGCGUUUGAUCUCGAUUCACAAGGAGCAAAUCGAGAAGUGGCAGGACGAGAUCAAGGACCUGCAGUCGCGUCACGCUGCCAAUGAAGCAGCUGCAGCACUUCUUGGCAACGCUCAUCAAUUGCUUCGUAGUUCGCCGCAAUUUUCCAUCCACGCCACAAGCAUACUGAGGGACUCUGAGGCUGCUGUGUGAAGUAUGCAGGGAAAUUUCAUAAAAGGAAAAAAAAAACAAGAAAUUUCGACUGUGGUGUGGAUGAUGCUAUACCAGUUCACGGCCGAGAGAAACUGUAGUUAAGAAUAAUGGGUCAUUAAGAAGUGUCAAAAUGGGGAUGCUCCUUCUUUUUCAUGGUCUUAGUUUGAUUCCCACAUUUAGCUUGCUUGGCCACAACUUGGUCUCCAUCUUGGUGCCCAUCAAA